GACGAACGCUGGCGGCGUGCUUAACACAUGCAAGUCGAACGGAAAGGCCCUGCUUUUGUGGGGUGCUCGAGUGGCGAACGGGUGAGUAACACGUGAGUAACCUGCCCUUGACUUUGGGAUAACUUCAGGAAACUGGGGCUAAUACCGGAUAGGAGCUCCUGCUGCAUGGUGGGGGUUGGAAAGUUUCGGCGGUUGGGGAUGGACUCGCGGCUUAUCAGCUUGUUGGUGGGGUAGUGGCUUACCAAGGCUUUGACGGGUAGCCGGCCUGAGAGGGUGACCGGCCACAUUGGGACUGAGAUACGGCCCAUACUCCUACGGGAGGCAGCAGUGGGGAAUAUUGCACGAUGGGCGGAAGCCUGAUGCAGCAACGCCGCGUGCGGGAUGACGGCCUUCGGGUUGUAAACCGCUUUCGCCUGUGACCAAGCGUGAGUGACGGUAAUGGGUAAAGAAGCACCGGCUAACUACGUGCCAGCAGCCGCGGUGAUACGUAGGGUGCGAGCGUUGUCCGGAUUUAUUGGGCGUAAAGGGCUCGUAGGUGGUUGAUCGCGUCGGAAGUGUAAUCUUGGGGCUUAACCCUGAGCGUGCUUUCGAUACGGGUUGACUUGAGGAAGGUAGGGGAGAAUGGAAUUCCUGGUGGAGCGGUGGAAUGCGCAGAUAUCAGGAGGAACACCAGUGGCGAAGGCGGUUCUCUGGGCCUUUCCUGACGCUGAGGAGCGAAAGCGUGGGGAGCGAACAGGCUUAGAUACCCUGGUAGUCCACGCUGUAAACGGUGGGUACUAGGUGUGGGGUCCAUUCCACGGGUUCCGUGCCGUAGCUAACGCUUUAAGUACCCCGCCUGGGGAGUACGGCCGCAAGGCUAAAACUCAAAGGAAUUGACGGGGCCCCGCACAAGCGGCGGAGCAUGCGGAUUAAUUCGAUGCAACGCGUAGAACCUUACCUGGGUUUGACAUGGAUCGGGAGUGCUCAGAGAUGGGUGUGCCUCUUUUGGGGUCGGUUCACAGGUGGUGCAUGGCUGUCGUCAGCUCGUGUCGUGAGAUGUUGGGUUAAGUCCCGCAACGAGCGCAACCCUUGUUCACUGUUGCCAGCACGUUAUGGUGGGGACUCAGUGGAGACCGCCGGGGUCAACUCGGAGGAAGGUGGGGAUGACGUCAAGUCAUCAUGCCCCUUAUGUCCAGGGCUUCACGCAUGCUACAAUGGCUGGUACAGAGAGUGGCGAGCCUGUGAGGGUGAGCGAAUCUCGGAAAGCCGGUCUCAGUUCGGAUUGGGGUCUGCAACUCGACCUCAUGAAGUCGGAGUCGCUAGUAAUCGCAGAUCAGCAACGCUGCGGUGAAUACGUUCCCGGGGCU
rnacentral:rRNA from 1 species